AAGUCGUAACAAGGUUUCCGUAGGUGAACCUGCGGAAGGAUCAUUAUCACGUCUCCACGUAUAAACCAUAUUGGGACAGAGCGAAAAGCAAUUAUGAAGGACUGUGGCCUUCGCUUUUCAAUGCUUUGUUUCACUGCGGUAUCCUUUAACCACAGUUAUUAUUAACGCCUUUAUUCUAUUGAACUGAUCUGGAGUCUUUUCGGAGACUCUACAUUUAUUCAAAUUAAAAACAAUUCUUAACAACGGAUAUCUUGGUUCCC
rnacentral:misc_RNA from 1 species